rnacentral:rRNA from 1 species
GACAGAGGGUGCGAACGUUGUUCGGAAUUACUGGGCGUAAAGCGCGUGUAGGCGGCAGCGCAAGUCGGGCGUGAAAUCCCACGGCUCAACCGUGGAAGUGCACUCGAAACUGCGCAGCUAGAGUCCUGGAGAGGAAGGUGGAAUGCUUGGUGUAGAGGUGAAAUUCGUAGAUAUCAAGCGGAACACCGGUGGCGAAGGCGGGUUGCUGGGCUGACACUGACGCUGAAGCGCGAAAGCUAGGGGAGCGAACGGG